rnacentral:rRNA from 1 species
UACACUCCUACGGGAGGCAGCAGUGGGGAAUUUUGGACAAUGGGGGCAACCCUGAUCCAGCAAUGCCGCGUGAGUGAAGAAGGCCUUCGGGUUGUAAAGCUCUUUUGUCAGGGAAGAAACGGUGGUGGCGAAUAACUACUACUAAUGACGGUACCUGAAGAAUAAGCACCGGCUAACUACGUGCCAGCAGCCGCGGUAAUACGUAGGGUGCAAGCGUUAAUCGGAAUUACUGGGCGUAAAGCGUGCGCAGGCGGUUGUGUAAGUCAGAUGUGAAAUCCCCGGGCUCAACCUGGGAAUUGCAUUUGAGACUGCACGGCUAGAGUGUGUCAGAGGGGGGUAGAAUUCCACGUGUAGCAGUGAAAUGCGUAGAUAUGUGGAGGAAUACCGAUGGCGAAGGCAGCCCCCUGGGAUAACACUGACGCUCAUGCACGAAAGCGUGGGGAGCAAACAGGAUUAGAUACCCGUGUAGUCCCAUGA